UCCCUGGUGGUCUAGUGAUUAACACUCUGCACUUCUACUGCAGAGGGCGCAGGUUCAAUCCCUGGUUGGGGAA
rnacentral:tRNA from 1 species